UACGGGGGGAGCAAGCGUUGUUCGGAUUUACUGGGCGUAAAGGGCGCGUAGGCGGCCAGCACAAGUCAGUUGUGAAAUCUCCGAGCUUAACCCGGAAAGGUCAACUGAUACUGUGCGGCUAGAGUGCGGAAGGGGCAACUGGAAUUCUUGGUGUAGCGGUGAAAUGCGUAGAUAUCAAGAGGAACACCUGCGGCGAAGGCGGGUUGCUGGGCCGACACUGACGCUGAUGCGCGAAAGCCAGGGGAGCGAACGGG
rnacentral:rRNA from 1 species